GACGAACGCUGGCGGCGUGCUUAACACAUGCCAGUCGAACGGAAAGGCCCUGCUUUUGUGGGGUGCUCGAGUGGCGAACGGGUGAGUAACACGUGAGUAACCUGCCCUUGACUUUGGGAUAACUUCAGGAAACUGGGGCUAAUACCGGAUAGGAGCUCCUGCUGCAUGGUGGGGGUUGGAAAGUUUCGGCGGUUGGGGAUGGACUCGCGGCUUAUCAGCUUGUUGGUGGGGUAGUGGCUUACCAAGGCUUUGACGGGUAGCCGGCCUGAGAGGGUGACCGGCCACAUUGGGACUGAGAUACGGCCCAGACUCCUACGGGAGGCAGCAGUGGGGAAUAUUGCACAAUGGGCGGAAGCCUGAUGCAGCAACGCCGCGUGCGGGAUGACGGCCUUAGGGUUGUAAACCGCUUUCGCCUGUGACGAAGCGUGAGUGACGGUAAUGGGUAAAGAAGCACCGGCUAACUACGUG
rnacentral:rRNA from 1 species